GAUGAACGCUGGCGGCGUGCCUAAUACAUGCAAGUCGAGCGAACGGACGAGAAGCUUGCUUCUCUGAUGUUAGCGGCGGACGGGUGAGUAACACGUGGAUAACCUACCUAUAAGACUGGGAUAACUUCGGGAAACCGUAGCUAAUACCGGAUAAUAUUUUGAACCGCAUGGUUCAAUAGUGAAAGACGGUCUUGCUGUCACUUAUAGAUGGAUCCGCGCUGCAUUAGCUAGUUGGUAAGGUAACGGCUUACCAAGGCAACGAUGCAUAGCCGACCUGAGAGGGUGAUCGGCCACACUGGAACGGAGACACGGUCCAGACUCCUACGGGAGGCAGCAGUAGGGAAUCUUCCGCAAUGGGCGAAAGCCUGACGGAGCAACGCCGCGUGAGUGAUGAAGGUCUUCGGAUCGUAAAACUCUGUUAUUAGGGAAGAACAUAUGUGUAAGCAACUGUGCACAUCUUGACGGUACCUAAUCAGAAAGCCACGGCUAACUACGUG
rnacentral:rRNA from 1 species